rnacentral:rRNA from 1 species
AUUGAACGCUGGCGGCAGGCCUAACACAUGCAAGUCGAGCGAGCGGCGGACGGGUGAGUAAUGUAUGGGGACUGCCCGAUAGAGGGGGAUAACUACUGGAAACGGUGGCUAAUACCGCAUACUAUCGGAUAACCCAUAUGGGAUUAGCUAGUAGGUGGGGUAAAGGCUCACCUAGGCGACGAUCUCUAGCUGGUCUGAGAGGAUGAUCAGACAAACUGGGACGGAGACACGGCCCAGACUCCUACGGAGGCAGAAGUGGGGAAGAUUGGACAAUGGGCGAAAGCCUGAUGCAGCCAUGCCGCGUGUAUGAAGAAGGUCUUAGGAUUGUAAAGGACUUUAAGCGGGGAGGCGGUACCAGCAGAAUAAGCACCGGCUAACUCCGUGCCAGCAGCCGCGGUAAUUC